CCUCAAAAGAGCAUGAAGUCCCUCUCUGUCCACUUUUGUUGAAAACCAAAAAGGUGGGAUCGUCAGCAGCAUCUCUCUGAAGCAGUCAUCGAUUCUGGUGCUUUUUCCUCCUAUAUUGAUUUGUCAUUUGUUAAUACAAAUAAAAUCCCAUUAAUUGCAAAAGAAAAA